rnacentral:rRNA from 1 species
ACGCUCGACACCUACGGGNGGCAGCAGUCGGGAAUAUUGCGCAAUGGAGGAAACUCUGACGCAGUGACGCCGCGUGCAGGAAGAAGGUUUUCGGAUUGUAAACUGCUUUAGACAGGGAAGAAAAAGGACAGUACCUGUAGAAUAAGCUCCGGCUAACUACGUGCCAACAGCCGCGGUAAUCUGAGCGGGCUGGCAAGGC